rnacentral:tRNA from 1 species
GGGCGUAUAGCUCAGUGGCGAGAGCGCUCGCCUCACACGCGAGAGGUCUCAGGUUCAAAUCCUGAUACGCCCACCA